UUAAGCGACUAAGCGUACACGGUGGAUGCCCUGGCAGUCAGAGGCGAUGAAGGACGUGCUAAUCUGCGAUAAGCGUCGGUAAGGUGAUAUGAACCGUUAUAACCGGCGAUUUCCGAAUGGGGAAACCCAGUGUGAUUCGUCACACUAUCAUUAACUGAAUCCAUAGGUUAAUGAGGCGAACCGGGGGAACUGAAACAUCUAAGUACCCCGAGGAAAAGAAAUCAACCGAGAUUCCCCCAGUAGCGGCGAGCGAACGGGGAGGAGCCCAGAGCCUGAAUCAGUGUGUGUGUUAGUGGAAGCGUCUGGAAAGGCGCGCGAUACAGGGUGACAGCCCCGUACACAAAAAUGCACAUGCUGUGAGCUCGAUGAGUAGGGCGGGACACGUGGUAUCCUGUCUGAAUAUGGGGGGACCAUCCUCCAAGGCUAAAUACUCCUGACUGACCGAUAGUGAACCAGUACCGUGAGGGAAAGGCGAAAAGAACCCCGGCGAGGGGAGUGAAAAAGAACCUGAAACCGUGUACGUACAAGCAGUGGGAGCACAGAGCAAUCUGUGUGACUGCGUACCUUUUGAUAAUGGGUCAGCGACUUAUAUUCUGUAGCAAGGUUAACCGAAUAGGGGAGCCGAAGGGAAACCGAGUCUUAACUGGGCGUUAAGUUGCAGGGUAUAGACCCGAAGCCCGGUGAUCUAGCCAUGGGCAGGUUGAAGGUUGGGUAACACUAACUGGAGGACCGAACCGACUAAUGUUGAAAAAUUAGCGGAUGACUUGUGGCUGGGGGUGAAAGGCCAAUCAAACCGGGAGAUAGCUGGUUCUCCCCGAAAGCUAUUUAGGUAGCGCCUCGUGAAUUCAUCUCCGGGGGUAGAGCACUGUUUCGGCAAGGGGGUCAUCCCGACUUACCAACCCGAUGCAAACUGCGAAUACCGGAGAAUGUUAUCACGGGAGACACGCGGCGGGUGCUAACGUCCGUCGUGAAGAGGGAAACAACCCAGACCGCCAGCUAAGGUCCCAAAGUCAUGGUUAAGUGGGAAACGAUGUGGGAAGGCCCAGACAGCCAGGAUGUUGGCUUAGAAGCAGCCAUCAUUUAAAGAAAGCGUAAUAGCUCACUGGUCGAGUCGGCCUGCGCGGAAGAUGUAACGGGGCUAAACCAUGCACCGAAGCUGCGGCAGCGACACUGUGUGUUGUUGGGUAGGGGAGCGUUCUGUAAGCCUGUGAAGGUGUGCUGUGAGGCAUGCUGGAGGUAUCAGAAGUGCGAAUGCUGACAUAAGUAACGAUAAAGCGGGUGAAAAGCCCGCUCGCCGGAAGACCAAGGGUUCCUGUCCAACGUUAAUCGGGGCAGGGUGAGUCGACCCCUAAGGCGAGGCCGAAAGGCGUAGUCGAUGGGAAACAGGUUAAUAUUCCUGUACUUGGUGUUACUGCGAAGGGGGGACGGAGAAGGCUAUGUUGGCCGGGCGACGGUUGUCCCGGUUUAAGCGUGUAGGCUGGUUUUCCAGGCAAAUCCGGAAAAUCAAGGCUGAGGCGUGAUGACGAGGCACUACGGUGCUGAAGCAACAAAUGCCCUGCUUCCAGGAAAAGCCUCUAAGCAUCAGGUAACAUCAAAUCGUACCCCAAACCGACACAGGUGGUCAGGUAGAGAAUACCAAGGCGCUUGAGAGAACUCGGGUGAAGGAACUAGGCAAAAUGGUGCCGUAACUUCGGGAGAAGGCACGCUGAUAUGUAGGUGAAGUCCCUCGCGGAUGGAGCUGAAAUCAGUCGAAGAUACCAGCUGGCUGCAACUGUUUAUUAAAAACACAGCACUGUGCAAACACGAAAGUGGACGUAUACGGUGUGACGCCUGCCCGGUGCCGGAAGGUUAAUUGAUGGGGUCAGCGCAAGCGAAGCUCUUGAUCGAAGCCCCGGUAAACGGCGGCCGUAACUAUAACGGUCCUAAGGUAGCGAAAUUCCUUGUCGGGUAAGUUCCGACCUGCACGAAUGGCGUAAUGAUGGCCAGGCUGUCUCCACCCGAGACUCAGUGAAAUUGAACUCGCUGUGAAGAUGCAGUGUACCCGCGGCAAGACGGAAAGACCCCGUGAACCUUUACUAUAGCUUGACACUGAACAUUGAGCCUUGAUGUGUAGGAUAGGUGGGAGGCUUUGAAGUGUGGACGCCAGUCUGCAUGGAGCCGACCUUGAAAUACCACCCUUUAAUGUUUGAUGUUCUAACGUGGACCCGUGAUCCGGGUUGCGGACAGUGUCUGGUGGGUAGUUUGACUGGGGCGGUCUCCUCCUAAAGAGUAACGGAGGAGCACGAAGGUUGGCUAAUCCUGGUCGGACAUCAGGAGGUUAGUGCAAUGGCAUAAGCCAGCUUGACUGCGAGCGUGACGGCGCGAGCAGGUGCGAAAGCAGGUCAUAGUGAUCCGGUGGUUCUGAAUGGAAGGGCCAUCGCUCAACGGAUAAAAGGUACUCCGGGGAUAACAGGCUGAUACCGCCCAAGAGUUCAUAUCGACGGCGGUGUUUGGCACCUCGAUGUCGGCUCAUCACAUCCUGGGGCUGAAGUAGGUCCCAAGGGUAUGGCUGUUCGCCAUUUAAAGUGGUACGCGAGCUGGGUUUAGAACGUCGUGAGACAGUUCGGUCCCUAUCUGCCGUGGGCGCUGGAGAACUGAGGGGGGCUGCUCCUAGUACGAGAGGACCGGAGUGGACGCAUCACUGGUGUUCGGGUUGUCAUGCCAAUGGCACUGCCCGGUAGCUAAAUGCGGAAGAGAUAAGUGCUGAAAGCAUCUAAGCACGAAACUUGCCCCGAGAUGAGUUCUCCCUGACCCUUUAAGGGUCCUGAAGGAACGUUGAAGACGACGACGUUGAUAGGCCGGGUGUGUAAGCGCAGCGAUGCGUUGAGCUAACCGGUACUAAUGAACCGUGAGGCUUAACCUU
rnacentral:rRNA from 1 species